ACUCCUACGGGAGGCAGCAGUGGGGAAUUUUGGACAAUGGGCGAAAGCCUGAUCCAGCAAUGCCGCGUGAGUGAAGAAGGCCUUCGGGUUGUAAAGCUCUUUUGUCAGGGAAGAAACGGUGAGAGCUAAUAUCUUUUGCUAAUGACGGUACCUGAAGAAUAAGCACCGGCUAACUACGUG
rnacentral:rRNA from 1 species